rnacentral:rRNA from 1 species
GAUGAACGCUGGCGGCGUGCCUAAUACAUGCAAGUCGAGCGAACAGACGAGGAGCUUGCUCCUCUGACGUUAGCGGCGGACGGGUGAGUAACACGUGGAUAACCUACCUAUAAGACUGGGACAACUUCGGGAAACCGGAGCUAAUACCGGAUAAUAUAUUGAACCGCAUGGUUCAAUAGUGAAAGACGGUUUUGCUGUCACUUCUAGAUGGAUCCGCGCCGCAUUAGCUAGUUGGUAAGGUAACGGCUUACCAAGGCAACGAUGCGUAGCCGACCUGAGAGGGUGAUCGGCCACACUGGAACUGAGACACGGUCCAGACUCCUACGGGAGGCAGCAGUAGGGAAUCUUCCGCAAUGGGCGAAAGCCUGACGGAGCAACGCCGCGUGAGUGAUGAAGGUCUUCGGAUCGUAAAACUCUGUUAUUAGGGAAGAACAAAUGUGUAAGUAACUAUGCACGUCUUGACGGUACCUAAUCAGAAAGCCACGGCUAACUACGUG